UAGGCUGCAACUCGCCUACAUGAAGUCGGAGUUGCUAGUAAUCGCGGAUCAGAAUGCCGCGGUGAAUGCGUUCCCGGGUCUUGUACACACCGCCCGUCACACCAUGGAAGUUGGGGGCGCCCGAAGUUGCCUAAGAAAUAAGGUACCUAAGGCGAAACCAAUGACUGGGGUGAAGUCGUAACAAGGUACC
rnacentral:rRNA from 1 species